GAGUUUGAUCGUGGCUCAGAUUGAACGCUGGCGGCAUGCCUUACACAUGCAAGUCGAACGGCAGCACGGGAGCUUGCUCCUGGUGGCGAGUGGCGAAUGGGUGAGUAAUGCAUCGGAACGUAUCCUGGAGUGGGGGAUAACGUAGCGAAAGUUACGCUAAUACCGCAUAUUCUGUGAGCAGGAAAGCGGGGGACCUUCGGGCCUCGCGCUCUUGGAGCGGCCGAUGUCGGAUUAGCUAGUUGGUGAGGUAAAGGCUCACCAAGGCGACGAUCCGUAGCAGGUCUGAGAGGAUGAUCUGCCACACUGGAACUGAGACACGGUCCAGACUCCUACGGGAGGCAGCAGUGGGGAAUUUUGGACAAUGGGGGCAACCCUGAUCCAGCCAUGCCGCGUGAGUGAAGAAGGCCUCGGUUGUAAGUA
rnacentral:rRNA from 1 species